rnacentral:lncRNA from 1 species
UGGCCGAAUAGGAGAAGAAGGUGGAUGGUGUUUAGUGGCCGGAGGACUGAUGGUGGGCAUUAGGGUAUGGUCGGUGAUGGGUGGCAGUGGUCGAUAGUCAGUGGUAGUGAUUGGCUACACGAAAAUCAUAAAAAAAGGCCUAGAAAUAGGGGAUCUAAGGCUUUUCUUUAUUUUUGUCUGUCGGCCAUUCGCUGGCAACCAUGCGCUUACUAUGGAGGGUCAUGGGGAGGUCAAGGUACGUGUCCUAGGGCUCAACUUCAAGGGGUGAUAAUGUCGGCCAUUGGAAAAAGUGAAAGAAAGGUAAGAAAAAUAGGAUAUUUCUUUAUGAUAGAUUUUCAGCAAAGCUAGUGGUCGAUGGCAAUGCCCAAGUCCAAGAGAUGAUGGGAAAGAUAGAGAGAAGGUG